rnacentral:rRNA from 1 species
UACGUAGGGUGCGAGCGUUGUCCGGAAUUACUGGGCGUAAAGAGCUCGUAGGUGGUUUGUCGCGUUGUUCGUGAAAACCGGGGGCUUAACCCUCGGCGUGCGGGCGAUACGGGCAGACUUGAGUACUGCAGGGGAGACUGGAAUUCCUGGUGUAGCGGUGGAAUGCGCAGAUAUCAGGAGAAACACCGGUGGCGAAGGCGGGUCUCUGGGCAGUAACUGACGCUGAGGAGCGAAAGCGUGGGGAGCGAACAGG